GAUGUUAUGGCUACCCCUACUCCAAAUUGUCCAUAGGUGUGAUUGUGAGUGUGAUUAAUUGUUUGCCUUUAUGUGCCUUGUGAUUGUCUGGCAGCCAGUCCACGAUGCACCCCACCUCUCGCCAAAGUCAGCUGGGACGGGCUCCAGUUCACCAACGGUUCUAAUGAGGACAAGGCCGAUAGGAAAUGGAUGGAUGGAUAAUUGGAAGUGAUGCCAGCCAUUGCAGAUAUUCCAAACAACAAAUCUUUGCAUGGCUCUUCACACGUCUCGGUGGGAACACGUGACAUGUGAAGGCAGGAAUCUCUUAUUAAACAUGCGAAAGCAGUUAGGACAAGAGAGAGAGAGAGAGCGGGGCGGGGCGCCCAGUCAUGACUUAAAGCUUCUCUUGAUGGCGACAUUAAAGGCAAGGGAGUGUCCACAGCGCAGGCCAGACAGACGCUUUGUUGGAGAGAGCGCUGAUGAGAGCUUACGUGUCUCCAGGCUGCUGGCGGCUCUCUUUGGAUCACGCUGCAUCACGGCUUCGAAGACUGCGAUGCAUUAGCGCUGGGGAUACAAGAGAUCACCCCCCCCCACCGACCCUCCUCGUGGGCACGCCGCCGUCGGACCGCGGCGGAACGCAUUCCACAACAGUCGCCUGAGAGCUCGCGUGCGUGAAGGGAAUGCGCAUCUAUCGGCUGUGACACACGGGGGGUGUGGGGGGCGUCACCCGGAGGCCCGGUGGGCCCCCUCCGAGGUGUCCUGAGCUAGCUGAUCGGAACAUACCUGCCAGCUUCUGGCAUCACCGCUAACUGCUUGUGGCGCUUAGCUGUUAGUCGGAGGCUGGAGAUGGCGCUCCGCUGUGCCGGCUUUGCUCGCCGCGGGUGGCGGAAAAGGAUUCUUCCGGAACCGGUGAAGCGGAUGAUCGGGUCAGAGACCUCGACAUGCCGCUCGAAUAGGGGACAGGGGAGCGAAGGGGAUGCACAAUUAGGCCCGGAGCUGGGCUAUUUCUGGAGCUAUACCGGCAUCACCCCCCCUCCUGUCAAUGGUGGCACAAUAACACAGUAAUCUCCUUACAUAACCGCACAAACUCCAAAAACGAAAGACUGCUAAAAAUAAACAAAGCGAGUCGAGGUGACGUCUAAAGGCUUCAAGCCCUGGGCCGAAUGCACCACAGGAGUCGGCCGAGCGCUCUAUUUUUAGACCCCCGUCACAAGUGGCGAUAUAAAUAAAACUACAAACCUCGCAAGAUGGAGGAGGAACCGCGGACCCGAGCGUCAUGAUCAAAGAGAGCGUGUUUGAUGAGGUUUGGAAAGGAGCCAGUAACGACCAUUAGCCGGGGCAGGUGGCACAGCGUAAAGUCGCCCUGAGUUAGACUGAAGUGGUGGACGUGUGAAACUGUCACAGGCAACAACUUUAACUUCGGUGCAUACGUACAAAUAAUUGGGCCUAAUUUUCCACCUGUGGCGUUUGCUGUGUUCAGAAUGAAUUUUGGGGCCUUUGCUGACUUAGAUCGUAAGGGGUGGGGGAGUAAAAUGCCUAAAUUCGGCCCGAUUAUCGGCAUGUGUGUACCUCGCUUAAAAAAGCAAUUUUUUCCAUUUCACGUCACAAUCACAAUCCUUGGUUUGGCCCAAUUUGGUGUUCACCUCACACAGUGAUUUGCAAUCGUAAAUAUUGAACAGAAUUGUCAGCCCCGACCGUUUUUCCCAGGCGAUCGGGAGGAAAAAGGCCUCAUAACCAACCCCACACCAGAGGACAAUCACUCAGGAUAAUCAUUUAGAGACCUCCGACAACUGGGCCUUUGCAGACGUGGAUCGCAAGCAGGGUAAAUUCUCCAAAUUUGGCAGAUUUUCAGCGUUUGUGUACAUAGUGCUUUUUGAAUAUACGCUAAUUUAUGCCUUUGUUUCAAAGUGCACACUUGAAUUCACCAGACAGACUUUAUGUGCCUCGCCGGGUGCUGCUGUUUUGGUUAGCAGCAGAGUUCAAAUGCCCUCCGUAGUUAACUAAUGUCCAUACAUGAACAAUAGCGUCUAUGUACUGAGAUAAUUACAGUAACCAAGGUACUAAGUAACCAACUGACCGACCCACCGAUCAACUACUUAAUAACCGACCAUCUGAACAACCAACUGACUUAGUCCCUCAAAAAUGCGGAUCGCACUUUUCAGUAUCCAAACCUACCAAUUAUUUUUCAGUCUAUUGAAUUUAUGAGCUGUCAGAGGGCGGUCGGAGUGUAAAGUGUAGCUUCCUAUCUUGGAGUUUGGAGGGCAAACAAGCUUGUCUGAAGUUCCUUCUUCACAACAUGUUGACUGUCUGUCCUCAAAGCGGUCAAGAAAGGGCGGGGGGGUCGCCGGAACUCUAAAUUAGCCGUGGUGAGUCAACAGGACAGCUUUCAUGCAGGAGAGGUCAGGAUGUAAGAGGUCAUAGGUCAGGAUGCAGUUUUGGUCCUUUGUCUUUUAACAGCUUCCUGUGUGCCGCGUUGUGCUAAUCACUCACUCAAGACUUUUACCCACAACGUUUUGGGGGGGAAGUCCAAAUUUGACCCGCUUUUUUGGAGUAAUGUUGAAAUAUGUUUUGGUGUGUCGCGACUGCGCAGCUGAGAUCAGCUCUUCACACUCCCUUCGCUAACCGAAUUGACAAUGGCGCCGGUGUUUGUGCUCUCGUCCACACUUUGAAGGUGCACCUGUUUCUCCACGUGUCACCCAGGCCAAGACAAAGCGUCGCGGGAGGCCCAGAGUGCUGGCCCCAGAGAUAUGAAGACGAGCUACGCCAGCACGCUAACAAACGUGCCUACAUGGCUGCCAUAUUGGUAGGGGCGAAGUUUCUAUCAGAGGCAAUGCAUGGACAUUAAAAUUAAAUUGUAACUAAAUGUAAUUUUUCAUGAUGUCUACUUUUGUUUCCAAUGUCAAAGCAUGUGCUAUCAAUA